AGAGAGAAAUAUUAGGUUGGUGCAAAAAUAAUUGUGGUUUUUGCCAUUGAAAGUAAUGGCAAAACCACAAUUAUUUUUGCACCAACCUAAUAA
rnacentral:pre_miRNA from 1 species